rnacentral:rRNA from 1 species
AACGAACGCUGGCGGCAGGCUUAACACAUGCAAGUCGAGCGCCCCGCAAGGGGAGCGGCAGACGGGUGAGUAACGCGUGGGAAUCUACCGUACCCUACGGAAUAGCUCCGGGAAACUGGAAUUAAUACCGUAUACGCCCCUCGGGGGAAAGAUUUAUCGGGGUAUGAUGAGCCCGCGUUGGAUUAGCUAGUUGGUGGGGU